rnacentral:rRNA from 1 species
AGUGAACGCUGGCGGUAGGCCUAACACAUGCAAGUCGAACGGCAGCACAGUAAGAGCUUGCUCUUACGGGUGGCGAGUGGCGGACGGGUGAGGAAUACAUCGGAAUCUACUUUUUCGUGGGGGAUAACGUAGGGAAACUUACGCUAAUACCGCAUACGACCUACGGGUGAAAGCAGGGAAUCUUCGGACCUUGCGCGAUUGAAUGAGCCGAUGUCGGAUUAGCUAGUUGGCGGGGUAAAGGCCCACCAAGGCGACGAUCCGUAGCUGGUCUGAGAGGAUGAUCAGCCAGACGGGAACUGAGACACGGUCCAGACUCCUACGGGAGGCAGCAGUGGGGAAUAUUGGACAAUGGGCGCAAGCCUGAUCCAGCCAUACCGCGUGGGUGAAGAAGGCCUUCGGGUUGUAAAGCCCUUUUGUUGGGAAAGAAAAGCAGCAGGUUAAUACCCCGCUGUUCUGACGGUACCCAAAGAAUAAGCACCGGCUAACUUCGUG